CCCCACCCCCCGCCACGGCUCGCCCGUCGGGCGGGAGGCCAGGGCUUCGCACAAAGGGACAAACGAGGCAGCCCACGCCCAGCGACGGUCUCGGUAGUGAGAAGGGAGACGGCCGGAGACUACACGAUCCUCCCACCUGCAAGAAAAGUGGGUGUCGGCAAACCGGACGGAAACACCACAGGUCCGCCUGAAGUUAAACCCAGGGACUGCUCAGAGAAAACAAAGGCCGCGGAAAGAAGCGAGCCAGCGGACUCUUCCGUACGCUGACGUCCAGACAUGUAUCAAAUUAACUACUCUUGCGGGAACAGAAGUCUCCCUACGGUGAAUAUUCUGAGCUAUCCGUCAUAGGACGCUGCAACCGUUGUACAAGGUUACGUCUUCUCUGCUUCAAUCCCCGGCUAAUUAUACAGACGAUAUAUUAUAUAAGAUAAAUACAGUCGGUUCAAGUCAUGUGAGUGCAAGUACAUCGCAAGGAUUACAGCUGGGCUGCGUAUCCUUUCCUUUCUGAGACCACUCACAGAUUCAGUGGCAGCAGUGGGAUCGAAGGAGACUUCCGUCAGCUUUGAGAACAACAAGAAGCUCAGGUAUGGCACCUGGGCACCCUUUUGAAUUCUCCACCAUUCCUGUCUUCCCUGAGGGUCCGGGUCUGCUCUCUUGGCAUCAAGCUCUCGAUCUGAUCGGCUCUCUAGUCCGGGCAGGUCAGCUUGAGAUACCAGGCAGUUGCAUCUGGAACCGAAGCCACCAGUGCUUCAUACAGACCACAGUUCACCAUCUGACUAGAACACCCCGGAUUCCAUACUGGGGACAGCCAGUGGCAGCUGUCGCUCCCCACUUGUUUGGAAUCCGUCUGCAAUCCCCACUUUGGGGUCUCUGGUUCUGCCCCUUCCCCAGGCCACGGCUCCACAGGAAUCGGAGGUACACGCCGGGCCUCCCCUAGGCCGGGCUGCAGUAACAUCCUGAGUAACUGUGGGACACACGUGUGUCUUACGUCAUGUACGUAAAGGCUAUCGCUGGCGAGUCUCAGAGGCUAGAAAGCCACAAGGACCGGCAGACACGGGUGCAACACUGAAAUGCUGUUACGUUACUCCCCAUCCAGCCUAAAACUCAAUCAGGGUAAGUUGUACGUGGAACAGGUUCAACUGACAAUAGCUGUUCACCUCGUGAAAAUGUCUCGUUACCUACAGUAACAAGGUAAGCUGCAAAACAUCACAUCAUUUCCUCCCCACAGUACAUCCCUUUUUGGUACUAGUUUGGCUUAGCUAAAAAUAACGAAACUGAACUAAUUAAUAAGAAGAAGAACGGAAUCCUUAAGUUCCAAAGAGUUGAGCGAGUCACUUUCCAGCACUAACGACAACCCAGAAUUACCACGGCCGUCAUGAGGACCAUUCUAAUCAGACAAGAUCGCUCACGUCGGAAGUGCCCUGGAGAGCAAGGGUUCCCAGGUUAGACAAACUGAAAGGGACACCUAAUUUUUUUACCGGUAUACUGAAAUGUUAAAAAGCCUUCAAAAGUCCCAAAUAGCUUAUUAAAAAUCUCUUUGCAAAAGGCUAAUGAAUAUUUAAAAAUGCGAGAUAAUGAACACAAGUCCACUAAACUGUUAACUUUACAGCUCCAAGGCCAGAGGCCUAAGUGAUACCUGGGUCCUGCCUCAUCCCUCCUACGGUGGGGUCCAUCAUGGAAACACUGGCCCAGGGGGUCCAGCAUCUCUACUGUAAUCAACCAGGGCCGUGGGAAAACAGACUGUCCUCAACCGGCCUGUGCAAACGUUUCAACAUCUCUGCCCCUAAAGAAGAGCCCCCAUAUGGGCCGCUCCUCCAGUUGACAGACUCCAAAGGACUCUCGGAUAAACUGCUACCAGUAAUCCCCUUAAAAGAGCAAAGGGGUAACUACAUAUUAAAACGAAUGAAAGAACUGGCCAAACUCGGGUAGAUUCCGGAGCUAUCCUCUCCACCUCAAACCUCACUUGCAGCCUGCAGACGGGAUCCUGGAAAACACGAAGGGGCUGGCUAACAUUGAAACAUCACAGAGGGAAAAGUAGGAUGUGGGUUUCUGGUAAGAGAAGGUGUGAGAAACGGAGAUCUAUUUUUUAUUGAGGGACAAGAAAGUCAUUGUGUCCUAAAGGGAGGAGACUACAGAAUUGGGGGG